UACGAAGGGGGCUAGCGUUGCUCGGAAUCACUGGGCGUAAAGCGCACGUAGGCGGCUUUCUAAGUCAGGGGUGAAAUCCUGGAGCUCAACUCCAGAACUGCCUUUGAUACUGGGAAGCUCGAGUCCGGAAGAGGUGAGUGGAACUCCGAGUGUAGAGGUGAAAUUCGUAGAUAUCAGGAGGAACACCGGUGGCGAAGGCGGCCUUCUGGACGGCUACUGACGCUGAGACGCGAAAGCGUGGGGAGCAAACAGG
rnacentral:rRNA from 1 species